rnacentral:rRNA from 1 species
GACGAACGCUGGCGGCGUGCCUAACACAUGCAAGUCGAACGGAAAGGCCCUGCUUUUGUGGGGUGCUCGAGUGGCGAACGGGUGAGUAACACGUGAGUAACCUGCCCCUCACUUUGGGAUAACUUCAUGCAACUUGGUCUAAUAGCGCAUAGGAGCUCCUGCUGCAUGGUGGGGGUUGGAAAGUUUCGGCGGUUGGGGAUGGACUCGCGGCUUAUCAGCUUGUUGGUGGGGUAGUGGCUUACCAAGGCUAUGACGGGUAGCCGGCCUGAGAGGGGGACCGGCCACAUUGGGACUGGGAUACGGCACAGACCACAACGGGAGGCAGCGGUGGGGAAUAUUGUACAGUGGGCGGAAGCAUGAUGUAGCAACGCAGCGUGCGGGAUGACGGCCUUCGGGUUGUAAACCGCAGUCGCCUGUGACGAAGCGUGAGUGACGGUAAUGGGUAAAGAAGCACCGGCUAACUACGUG